rnacentral:rRNA from 1 species
AGCGAACGCUGGCGGCAUGCCUAACACAUGCAAGUCGAACGAGACCUUCGGGUCUAGUGGCGCACGGGUGCGUAACGCGUGGGAACCUGCCCUUAGGUUCGGAAUAACUCCCCGAAAGGGGUGCUAAUACCGGAUAAUGUCUUCGGACCAAAGAUUUAUCGCCUUUGGAUGGGCCCGCGUUGGAUUAGCUAGUUGGUAGGGUAAAAGCCUACCAAGGCGACGAUCCAUAGCUGGUCUGAGAGGAUGAUCAGCCACACUGGGACUGAGACACGGCCCAGACUCCUACGGGAGGCAGCAGUGGGGAAUAGUGGACAAUGGGCGAAAGCCUGAUCCAGCAAUGCCGCGUGAGUGAUGAAGGCCUUAGGGUUGUAAAGCUCUUUUACCCGGGAUGAUAAUGACAGUACCGGGAGAAUAAGCUCCGGCUAACUCCGUG